UAGUCAUAUGCUUGUCUCAAAGAUUAAGCCAUGCAUGUCUAAGUAUACGCAAAUUAUACUGUGAAACUGCGAAUGGCUCAUUAAAUCAGUUAUAGUUUAUUUGAUGUUUCUUGCUACAUGGAUAACUGUGGUAAUUCUAGAGCUAAUACAUGCGUAAAAAGCCCCGACUUCUGGAAGGGGUGUAUUUAUUAGAUAAAAACCAUCCUCCUCGGAGUUUGGUGAUUCAUAAUAACUUCUCGAAUCGCACGGCCUUGUGCUGGCGAUGCUUCAUUCAAAUAUCUGCCCUAUCAACUGUCGAUGGUAGGAUAGAGGCCUACCAUGGUUACAACGGGUGACGGAGAAUUAGGGUUCGAUUCCGGAGAGGGAGCCUGAGAAACGGCUACCACUUCUACGGAGGGCAGCAGGCGCGCAAAUUACCCAAUCCUGACUCAGGGAGGUAGUGACGAAUAAUAACGAUACGUGACUUCGGUCUAGUAAUUGGAAUGAGUACAAUUUAAACCCCUUAAUGAAUUCCAUU
rnacentral:rRNA from 1 species